rnacentral:rRNA from 1 species
ACAGGUGCUGCAUGGCUGUCGUCAGCUCGUGUCGUGAGAUGUUGGGUUAAGUCCCGCAACGAGCGCAACCCUCGCAUUCAGUUGCCAUCGGUAAGGCCGGGCACUCUGGAUGGACUGCCGGCGACAAGCCGGAGGAAGGUGGGGACGACGUCAAGUCAUCAUGGCCCUUAUGUCCAGGGCGACACACGUGCUACAAUGGCCGGCACAACGGGAAGCGAAGGGGCGACCCUGAGCGGAUCCCACAAAAGCCGGUCUCAGUUCGGAUUGCAGUCUGCAACUCGACUGCAUGAAGUUGGAAUCGCUAGUAAUCGUGGAUCAGCCAAGCCGCGGUGAAUACGUUCCCGGGCCUU